CUACGGGCUGCAGCAGUAGGGAAUUUUGCGCAAUGGGGGCAACCCUGACGCAGCAACGCCGCGUGAGUGAAGAAGGUCUUCGGAUUGUAAAGCUCUGUUUACGGGAAAGAAGAGUAUAAUCGCUAAUAUCGGUUAUAUUUGACGGUACUCGUGGAGAAAGCACCGGCUAACUCCGUGCCAGCAGCCGCGGUAAUACGGAGGGUGCAAGCGUUGUUCGGAAUUAUUGGGCGUAAAGGGCGCAGGCGGGGAUACAAGUCACAUGUGAAAUCCCACGGCUUAACCGUGGACGUGCUUGUGAAACUGUAUUUCUUGAGUGUUAGAUGGGAAAGCGGAAUUCCAAGUGUAGGAGUGAAAUCCGUAGAUAUUUGGAGGAACACCAGAGGCGAAGGCGGCUUUCUGGCUAAACACUGACGCUGAGGCGCGAGAGCGUGGGGAGCAAACAGGAUUAGAUACCCGCGUAGUC
rnacentral:rRNA from 1 species